GUGAGGAAUAUUGGUCAAUGGAGGCAACUCUGAACCAGCCAUGCCGCGUGCAGGAAGACGGUCCUAUGGAUUGUAAACUGCUUUUAUUUAGGAAUAAACCCCCGGUCGUGCACCGGGGCUGAAUGUACUAAAAGAAUAAGCACCGGCUAACUCCGUGCCAGCAGCCGCGGUAAUACGGAGGGUGCAAGCGUUAUCCGGAAUCAUUGGGUUUAAAGGGUCCGCAGGCGGGUAAAUAAGUCAGAGGUGAAAUCCGGCAGCUCAACUGUCGCACUGCCUUUGAUACUGUUUAUCUUGAAUUUUAGUGGAGUGGGCGGAAUAUGUCAUGUAGCGGUGAAAUGCUUAGAUAUGACGUGGAACACCGAUAGCGAAGGCAGCUCACUAACUAUGAAUUGACGCUCAUGGACGAAAGCGUGGGUAGCAAACAGGAUUAGAAACCCAUGUAGUCC
rnacentral:rRNA from 1 species